AGCAGCAAGAUGCUGUGGCAGACUCAGCUCCUCUGGCUCAUCAUGCUCUGGGCUCAGGGCUCCAGCGGGGACAUUCUUGUAACCCAGGCUCCAGAGUCCCUGGUGGUGUCUCCAGGAGACACAGUCACCAUCGAGUGCAAAACCAGCUCCAGUGUUAGCACCCACAUGGACCUCUUCCAGCAGAAACCAGGGCAAGCUCCUAAGAUCUUUGUCUACAACACAAAUACCCGCCCCUCCGGGAUCCCCGACCGGUUCAGUGGCAGUGGCUCUGGCACCGACUUCACUUUCACCAUCAGCCACAUAGAAGCCGAUGAUGCUGGAGAUUAUUACUGCAUGCAGAAUACCCAGUGGCCUCGCACAGUGCUACAGCCCUGUACAAAAACCUCCCUGCUCUGUUCAGCUCUGUUGCUCUCAGCACCGGCUUCCUGUACAGUCACAGACCAGUGACUGCUGACAAUUUACAGCAGGGCCAGGUGGUGCUCACGUUUACAGCCUUGCAGCCACCACUUCUUCCACUCAGUAAA